rnacentral:rRNA from 1 species
GAUGAACGCUGGCGGCGUGCCUAAUACAUGCAAGUCGAGCGAACAGAUAAGGAGCUUGCUCCUUUGACGUUAGCGGCGGACGGGUGAGUAACACGUGGGUAACCUACCUAUAAGACUGGGAUAACUUCGGGAAACCGGAGCUAAUACCGGAUAAUAUUUCGAACCGCAUGGUUCGAUAGUGAAAGAUGGUUUUGCUAUCACUUAUAGAUGGACCCGCGCCGUAUUAGCUAGUUGGUAAGGUAACGGCUUACCAAGGCGACGAUACGUAGCCGACCUGAGAGGGUGAUCGGCCACACUGGAACUGAGACACGGUCCAGACUCCUACGGGAGGCAGCAGUAGGGAAUCUUCCGCAAUGGGCGAAAGCUUGACGGAGCAACGCCGCGUGAGUGAUGAAGGUCUUCGGAUCGUAAAACUCUGUUAUUAGGGAAGAACAUACGUGUAAGUAACUGUGCACGUCUUGACGGUACCUAAUCAGGAAGCCACGGCUAACUACGUG